GUCCUUUUGAUUAUAAUUUAAGGUUUAACCUGCCCACUGAAAAAUUAAAUGGCCGCAGUAUUUUGACUGUGCAAAGGUAGCAUAAUCAUUAGUUUCUUAAUUAGAAGCUUGUAUGAAUGGUUGGACGAGAGACUUUCUGUCUCAAUUUAUUUAUUAAAAUUUUAUUUUUAAGUCAAAAAGCUUAAAUAAUUUUAAAAGACGAGAAGACCCUAUAGAGUUUUAUAAAUUAAUAAAUUUUUUUUUUAGAAUAUUAUUUAUUAUUAAUUUAUUUUAUUGGGGUGAUAUAUAAAUUUAAAAAACUUUAUAUUAUUUUAUACAUAUUUAUAUGAAUUUAUGAUCCAUUUUUUAUGAUUAAAAGAAAAAAUUACCUUAGGGAUAACAGCGUAAUUUUUUUUUAGAGUUCUAAUCGAAAAAAAAGUUUGCGACCUCGAUGUUGGAUUAAAGUUAAUUUAUGGUGUAGAAGCUAUAUUAUUGGGUCUGUUCGACCUUAAAACUUUACAUGAUCUGAGUUUAAACCGGCGUGAGCCAGGUUGGUUUCUAUCUUUAAAUAUUUUAAAUAUUUUAGUACGAAAGGACCAUUAUUUUUAAUAUUUAAUAAAUUUUGAAUU
rnacentral:rRNA from 1 species